CUCCAGGUGACUGUCUUCACCUUUAUUGCAUCUUAUUAAAGAAAUGUACUGGGAUCAGGAUCCCAACAAAAAGGUUCCCGUGGAGGAAUAAAACAGCCUAAAGUGCAAUGAAGGUGCCUCAGUACUCCUGAAGGAAAAUUCCCUUCCAGCUAGCCAACAGUGAGUAUUAAGCACCUCAUCCCACCCUGAAUUCAGGUAAAAAUUAUCUUCUGAGGAAUAAAACACCAAUUAAAGCCCA
rnacentral:lncRNA from 1 species